UACGUAGGGUGCGAGCGUUAAUCGGAAUUACUGGGCGUAAAGCGUGCGCAGGCGGCGCGUUAAGUCAGAUGUGAAAGCCCCGGGCUCAACCUGGGAACGGCAUUUGAAACUGGCGGGCUGGAGUGUGGCAGAGGGGGGUGGAAUUCCACGUGUAGCAGUGAAAUGCGUAGAGAUGUGGAGGAACACCGAUGGCGAAGGCAGCCCCCUGGGCCAACACUGACGCUCAGGCACGAAAGCGUGGGGAGCAAACAGG
rnacentral:rRNA from 1 species